GAUGAACGCUGGCGGCGUGCUUAAUACAUGCAAGUCGAACGGGAAAUGUAGCAAUAUGUUUCUAGUGGCGAAUGGGUGCGUAACACGUGGGUGACGUGCCCCGAAGUGUGGAAUAACAGCUCGAAAGAGCUGCUAAUACCGCAUGUGGUUCUGGUGUUUAGAAAUCCAGAUCUAAAGCAGUAAUGCGCUUCGGGAGCGGCCUGCGGUCCAUCAGCUAGUUGGUAGGGUAAUGGCCUACCAAGGCUACGACGGAUAGGGGACCUGAGGAGGGUCGGCCCCCCACACUGGCACUGACACACGGGCCAGACGCCUACGGGUGGCAGCAGUAAGGAAUAUUGCACAAUGGGCGAAAGCCUGAUGCAGCAACGCCGCGUGCACGAU
rnacentral:rRNA from 1 species